rnacentral:tRNA from 1 species
GCUCUGGUGGCACAGUGGGUGAGAGCUCAGCUGCAAACUGAAAGGCUGGUGGUUAGAAUCCACCAGCA